UUCCUUGAUUAUUCUCCACUAGGGUCAACCAUAUUGUACUUGUAGCACAGGCUCCACGCCAAGACUUUAAGGUAUAGACUUUACAGAAUCAUUUAUUUAAACCAUAUUGCCUGCAAUUGACAACAGUCACAUGACAUGCCCUUAGAAUUACAUAAUUGAACAGGAGGCAAAAUAAGGUUUAUGUGUAUCAAUAGAAACCUAUUGAUACAAGAAAACUAGCUAAAGUGUUCAUGCCUAUAAAAGAAUUAGCUAACUACUCUGAGAAAUGAGACUACCACCCCACCAACAAACAAACAAACAAAAGCCAUGUUGGUAAGAUAAUAAUUCAAUGACAGUACUUUGACUGAUAGAAGUUCUUUUGUGAGGUUGGUCCCAUUCUGCUGUAUCAACCUGGCAAGAACUCUAAGGCCUAGAAUUCUCCUCAGGUUGGAAUGAGAAUUUCCACUGUCGGUUCGUAUGUUUGAAUAUUUGGCCCCCAGGUAGAGGAACUGUUUGGAGGGAUUAUCAGGGCGAAGCCUCACGAUUCUCAUAUUUGACAAUGUUUGUGAAUCAGACAUGCCACAGUCAUUGCAGAAGAGAUAAUCAGAAAAAAACGCAGACCUAAAAGACAGAGAGACACACAGGUGGAUGGAUGGAUGGACAGAUGAAGAAAAGGAAGGAAUGAAGGAAAGAAAGAA